rnacentral:rRNA from 1 species
UACGAAGGGGGCUAGCGUUGCUCGGAAUCACUGGGCGUAAAGCGCACGUAGGCGGAUUGUUAAGUCAGGGGUGAAAUCCUGGAGCUCGACUCCAGAACUGCCUUUGAUACUGGCGAUCUUGAGUCCGGGAGAGGUGAGUGGAACUCCGAGUGUAGAGGUGAAAUUCGUAGAUAUUCGGAAGAACACCAGUGGCGAAGGCGGCUCACUGGCCCGGUACUGACGCUGAGGUGCGAAAGCGUGGGGAGCAAACAGG